rnacentral:misc_RNA from 1 species
GAUGAAGAACGUAGUGAAAUGCGAUAAGUAAUGUGAAUUGCAGAAUUCAGUGAAUCAUCGAAUCUUUGAACGCACAUUGCGCCCGCCAGUAUUCUGGCGGGCAUGCCUGUUCGAGCGUCAUUUCAACCAUCAAGCCCCCGGCUUGUGUUGGGGACCUGCGGCUGCCGCAGGCCCUGAAAACCAGUGGCGGGCUCGCUAGUCACUCCGAGCGUAGUAAUACAUCUCGCUCAGGGCGUGCUGCGGGUUCCGGCCGUUAAAAAGCCUUAUUUACCCAAGGUUGACCUCGGAUCAGGUAGGAAGACCCGCUGAACUUAAGCAUAUCAAAAGCGGAGGA